rnacentral:snoRNA from 1 species
AUCUGCCUUUUUAAAAAAAGUUACCACUGGGUACAUGAUGAAUAAAACCAAAUCACCAUCUUUCGGCUGAGGUCCUGAU